UAUACUUUUCCAGUAUAUUGUAACCUAGCAGAGGGCCAGUCUGGUGCCAGCAGCUGCGGUAAUUCCAGCUCUGCAAGUUUGCUCCCAUAUUGUUGUAGUUAAAACGCUCGUAGUCUGAAUUAUUUUAAUUUAAAUUUUUUAAAUUAAAAUUUAGUUUUUAUUUUAUAAAAACGUUCACUGUGAACAAAUCAGAACGCUUAAAGUAAUUUUCUUUAUUGAAUGAUUUAGCGCAGUAUGAAAUUUUUACUUUUUAAAUUUUAAUUAAUUUAACAAGUAAUAUCAAAGAGAAUAAUCGGGGAUAGAUCUAUUUCAUGGCGAACAGCGAAAUGUUUUGACCCAUGAGAGAGAAACGAAGGCGAAAGCAUCUAUCAAGUGUAUUUCUAUCGAUCAAGGGCGAGAGUAGGAGUAUCCAACCGGAUCAGAGACCCGGGUAGUUCCUACCUUAAACUAUGCCGACAAGGUUUUGUUUUUUUUAAUAAAAGCAGUACCAUAGGAGAAAUCAUAGUUCAUGGGCUCUGGGGGAACUACGACCGCAAGGCUGAAACUUGAAGGAAUUGACGGAAGGGCACACCAGGGGUGGAGCUUGUGGCUUAAUUUGAAUCAACACGGGAAAACUUACCAGGACCAGAUAUUUUUAAUGACUGAUCAGGCUAUAGGUCUUUCAGGAUAUGAUUUUUGGUGGUGCAUGGCCGUUGGUGGUGCGUGGGUUGACCUGUCUAGCGUUGAUUCAGAUAACGAGCGAGAUUAUCACCAAUUAAAUAUAUUAAUAUUUUUAUUAAAAUAAUUUAUUUUCUAAUUGGGACUCC
rnacentral:rRNA from 1 species